rnacentral:rRNA from 1 species
AGGGUGAGUAAUAGUUAGGUAACGUACCGUCUCGCUGGGGAUAACUAGGGGAAACCUUAGCUAAUACCGAAUAGUCUGCUGAGGCGAAUGCCGAUGCAGUAAAGCCAUUAGGCGCGGGACGAUCGGCCUAACUCCUAUCAGCUAGUUGGUAGGGUAACGGCCUACCAAGGCUAUGACGGGUAGCUGGUCUGAGAGGAUGGUCAGCCACACUGGCACUGAGACACGGGCCAGACUCCUACGGGAGGCAGCAGUUAGGAAUCUUGCGCAAUGGGCGAAAGCCUGACGCAGCGACGCCGCGUGAGGGAAGAAGGCCUUCGGGCUGUAAACCUCUUUCGGCAGGGAACACUAAAGAUAGUACCUGCAGAAGAAGCCCCGGCUAACUACGUGCCAGCAGCCGCGGUAAAACGUAGGGGGCAAGCGUUACUCGGAAUGACUGGGCGUAAAGGGUGUGUAGGCGGCUUCCUAAGUCCGAUGUGAAAGCCCUAGACUCAAUCUAGGAACUGCAUCGGAUACUGGGUUGCUAGAGUGCCAGAGGGGGGAACGGAAUUCCCGGUGUAGAGGUGAAAUUCGUAGAUAUCGGGAGGAACACCGAAAGCGAACGCGGGUCCCUGGCUGGUUACUGACGCUGAGACACGAAAGCNUGGGGAGUAAACAGGAUUAGAUACCCUGGUAGUCCACGCCCUAACGAUCAC